CUCUUCUGAGGGAAACCUCGACACGGAGAUGGAUCACAGCGGAAACCUCCAUGUUCCGGCACCAGAGGGACAAUAAAAACUGAACUCAAUGUCCAUCAGCAGCAGAUAAUGGUCACUUACUGGGCAACAUCUGACAGAGUGAAAGGGCAACAACGCUGAUGUUAAUGUUUCACUGCUCUGCAAGACGAGCGACACUCAGACCCAGUGUCAAGGAUGACGAGUGAGUGUGACAACAGUUUGGAACAGAAAGAAGUUCAGCAGUUUAGUAACAAAGGACGCAAAAGUCUUCCUCUGAUUACUCAAUGCAGCAACUCUGCCAGACAAGACCAAGACUGGUACCCACUUCCUCCAUGUCAUCACCUUAGAACUCUACAUCUGCAGAAUUGUAAUUUCCACUGCCCGUGCAAACUCCUUCAGCACAAACACCAACAAAUGGCGAGUAGGUUUGUAAGUGUGAGGCUGAGAGCAGGAAAUUCACCAAAAUGUCUUUAAAUUAAGCUUCAGGUGGAAAAGUCUCAUCAAGUCUUUCAGUGGAUUUUGAUUAUGAUCUGAGAGCAGGAGAUUAAUUCAGUCUGCACUGACACAACAUUAGAGCAAACAAAAAAGCAUUCAAGUAAUGACAAUUGAAGCUGUUUCACGGUUUUAUUUUGAAAAACUGUAAUGGAUCAAACUGACUGUGUCACCAGAAACGUGUUAAACGUGAAAAAGAGGAACAAGAUAUUUUCAAAUGUGCCUGCAUCCUGCAAAUCACUGUGUAAACUUCAGAAAUUACAAAACCUCUCCAACUAAAUAAAUUAGAGAGAGGUUAUUUAGGUGACUUUAGUUUCUCAUAUAUUGCAACUGUUACUGUAUACAAACAGUGACUGUUUUUAAAGGAUCCAUUAAAAGUUUUAUUAUUAUUAUUCAUAAUAUGAGAUGAGGAGAACUCAGCUCACUGGUUCUUUUUUAUCUUUACCUUUUAUUGAAUCAAUUUAACUGAGGUUUCACAACAAAACGCAAAAAAAGUAGAGGGAAUAUGCAAUGCUAUGAGAAAAAUCUCUACCUUUUAUCAGUUUAACAACUCAGUUUCAUUUGUAUAGCCCAUAUGCAUAAAUCACAAUUUACCUCAUUACCUUUGUUCUAAUCCCUUGCAGAAACCUCAGGUGAGGAUUAAAAUGGUUCUCAGAUAAGACGAUGACUUAAAAUAAAACAGUUUCCUCAUGAUUUUUAAAUUAUAUUUCUGAGGUAAAACAUGUGAAUUGUCAAAACUGUUAAAUGCUAAUCAUCUGCUACAAACCACAGAGACAAACACACACACACACACACCGGAGUUUAGUGGACUCCGAGGUCGUACCUGCAG